rnacentral:snRNA from 1 species
GUACUCACUUCGGCAGCACAUACACUAAAAUUGGAAUGAUACGGAGAAAUUUAGUAUGGCCCCUGCGCAAGCAUGACAUGCAAAUUCGUGAAGCAUUCCAUAUUUUU